rfam:Photobacterium sp. 13-12 scaffold11, whole genome shotgun sequence.
AAAGCCAAGGAGUUUGGCAGUCUCAGGAAGAGACCGGUGUAUCAGGACGGUAUAUCGAACAUGGACUGUGAAGGGAACGCCGAAGGAAUCGGUUAUAGCAAGCAGGACGUUUGCUGGUCAGGAUGACACAAGGACCACUUCAGGACGAAGUCAGGGACACCUCCAGGAUGGAUGAAGAGAGUCAGGACAGGAUGUGCUGAUGGGUCAGGAGACCGAAGGACAACUUCAGGACGAAGAAUACAAGGAAUAUGCUGACGGAUUACAGCAAUUCAACGGAAUGAUGCAGGGAGCACCGUAGUAGCGGGAAUGCUGCAAGUAAGACCUAAGGGCGCGACGCAAGUCGCGCCCGUUCUUUUUUGG